CGGGGUGUAGCGCAGCUGGCUAGCGCGCUUGCUUUGGGAGCAAGAGGUCGUCGGUUCGAAUCCGUCCACCCCGA
rnacentral:tRNA from 1 species